UGUCACUGCAAUUAAAUCCCCUCAGGAAGAAGUAGCUUUAGAAGAUGUGACCAGACUGGAGACACUGAUACUUGUUUAGAUUUUGAAAAUGCAUCAUCGAUCAUGGCUACUGAUUUCGACAAACAGCUCUCACGGAGGGAAGAAUAUAGUCCAUACUAUAAAUCAACCCUAACAAAGAAUGGCAAGAGACAGCUAAAAACUACGGAAGAGAUUUUUUUUUUCUGCUCUGUUGCCCAGAUGGAUGUUUAGAAUGCUGAGGAAGCAGAUGUGUACAAAGGACAGGAGAGGCAAACCAGUAGAUGGGAACACGUCCUGAAUUACGGAAUGCAAAAAAGUACUUAAUAUACCAGAGGAAACGAUUGUAAUUAUGUUUUCAAGAUAAAGCUUCAUAAAAACACAUCAUCUGCCAAAGAACCAGUGUGAAAAAUAUGCUAAGUUCUGAAAGACAGUGAAAAAAAUCCUCGUGGCUAAAUUUUAGAGCACAAGAUCAACGGGAUGCACUCAAUAUGCCUACUGCUAAGUCGGUGUGAUUUUUUCACUGUGAAAAGCCAAAUUUAGUGUUGGGGGGGCACGGUGUGGUUAAUUUGAAUGAGAACUUAUAUCAAGUACAGUAAAUUCCAUAAAAUAUAGUAAUACAUUCAGUUUUUAAUCAGUAAUUCAGAUUUAACUAGUGAGUCAUUAGUUUUACCUAAGCAGUUAUUAUUAACUCUCCCAUUUGUCAAGUAUAUAUCUUCAUAAGAUGCUAAGUACACCGGAACUACUAAACACACUGCUUAUUCUAAGGAAAUUUUUAACUAAAGGUAACAUUUGAAGAUAUACAUUGUUAUUUAAGACCAGUAUAUUAGAGAAAAACAUCUGAAAUAUGGACUGUGA
rnacentral:lncRNA from 1 species